GACGAACGCUGGCGGCGUGCUUAACACAUGCCAGUCGAACGGACGGGCCCUGCUCUUGUGGGGUGCUCGAUUGGCGAACGGGUGAGUGACACGUGAGUAACCUGCCCUUGUCUUUGGGAUAACUUCAGGAAACUGCGGCUAUAACCGGGGAGGAUCUCCUGCUGCAUGGUGGUGAAUGGUAAGUUUCGGCGGUUGGGGAUGGACUCGCGGCUUAUCCGCUUGUUGGGGUGGUAGUGACUUACCAAGGCUUUGACGGGUAGGCGGCCUGAGAGGGUGACCGGCCACAUGAGGACUGAGAUACGGCCCAGACGCGAACGGGACGCAGCAGUGGAGAGUAUUGCAGAGUGGGCGGGAGCCUGAUGUGGCAACGUCGCGUGCGGGAUGACGGCCUUCGGGUUGUAAACAGAUGUCGACUGUGCCGAAGCGAUAGUGACGGUAACGGGUAAAGAAGCCACGGCUAACUACGUG
rnacentral:rRNA from 1 species